rnacentral:rRNA from 1 species
UACGAAGGGGGCUAGCGUUGUUCGGAAUUACUGGGCGUAAAGCGUAUGCAGGCGGAUCGUUAAGUCGGGGGUGAAAUCCCGAGGCUCAACCUCGGAACUGCCUUCGAUACUGGCGACCUUCGAGUCCGGGAGAGGUGAGUGGAACUCCGAGUGUAGAGGUGAAAAUUCGUAGAUAUUCGGAAGAACACCAGUGGCGAAGGCGGCUCACUGGCCCGGUACUGACGCUGAGAUACGAAAGCGUGGGGAGCAAACAGG